GAGCUGGCCGGACAAAUGGCUGCCGAGGGUCUGGCUUCCAGUCUGAGAGGGUCCCGGCGCCUUCUGAGCAGCUUUGCCGCCGGGGCCGCAGUGGGCGCCGCGGGAGCAGGCUUCGCGGCGCUGCAGCUCUUUCGGAGCCAGGGCGCGGAGGCGGCGCGGGCAGCGGGGGAGCCGGACGCUACAGGAUCUGCAGAAAAGCCUGUCUUGGAACAGUUCGGAUUCCCUUUAACUGGAGCAGAGCCUAAGCGUUACACCAAUCAUGCCGUGUCUUACGAUCAGGCAAAGCGGGUGCCUAGAUGGGUUCUUGAACAUAUAUCCAAAAGCAAGAUAACGGGUGAUGCAGACAGAAAACAUUGUAAAUUCAAGCCUGACCCCAGCAUCCCUCCAGCCUUCAGCGCCCUCAAUGAGGACUAUCUUGGAAGUGGGUGGUCGCGAGGACACAUGGCUCCUGCAGGAGAUAACAAAUUCUCAACUAAAGCCAUGGCAGAAACCUUUUACCUUUCUAAUAUCGUGCCUCAGAAUUUUGAUAAUAACGCCGGAUACUGGAACAGAAUAGAGAUGUACUGUCGAGAACUGACGGAGAGGUUUGAAGAUGUCUGGGUAGUAUCCGGACCUUUGACCUUACCUCAGACUGGAAGUGAUGGAAAGAAAACAGUGAGUUACCAGGUGAGGACACAGCACCUGCUCACUCGGCAUUCUGGUCAUCGUGGAGGUGAGGAGGCCGCUUCUGCUCACUCGGCAUUCUGCUCGUCCGUGGAGGUGAGGAGGCAGCUCGUGCUCAAUCGGCGUUCUUCUCGUCCGUGGAGUGUUCGGGUUGUCCCUGGAGGUGAGGAGGCAGCUCCUGCUCAGUCGGCGUUCUGGUCGUCCGUGGAGGUGAGGAGGCGGCUCCUGCUCAAUCGGUGUUCUGGUCGUCUGUGGAGGUGAGGAGGCGGCUCCUGCUCAAUUGGUGUUCUGGUCGUCCUUGGAGGUAAGGACACGGCUCCUGCUCACUCAGUGUUCUGGUCGUCCCUGGAGGUGAGGACGCGGCUCCUGCUCACUCAGCGUUCUGGUCAUCCAUGGAGGUGAGGACGCGGCUGCUGCUCACUUGGCAUUCUGGUCAUCCCUGGAGGUGAGGGCGCGGCUCCUGCUCACUCGGUGUUCUGGUCGUCCCUGGAGGUGAGGACGCGGCUCCUGCUCACUCAGCGUUCUGGUCAUCCGUGGAGGUGAGGAGGCGGCUGCUGCUCACUUGGCAUUCUGGUCAUCCCUGGAGGUGAGGGCGCGGCUCCUGCUCACUCAGUGUUCUGGUCGUCCAUGGAGGUGAGGAGGCGGCUCCUGCUCACUCGGUGUUCUGGUCAUACCUGGAGGUGAGGACGCGGCUGCUGCUCACUCGGUGUUCUGGUCGUCCCUGGAGGUGAGGACGUGGCUGCUGCUCACUCAGUGUUCUGGUUGUCCGUAGAGGUGAGGACGCGGCUCCUGCUCACUCAGAGUUCUGGUCAUCCCUGGACGUGAGGAUACGGCAGAGGAGUUAGGACAGGAGAUACCAACACAGUCUCAACCGUCCACCUGAUACAAGUAGCUCACUCUUCAACAGCAUCUCUCUCCUACCCAUUGUCCAGUCCCUUCCAAGUCUGAUGAGUUGUCUUUGGGAAUGUUUCCUCUCCUGGGCCAACAGAAGGUUUGGGGACCAUGACCACUGGGAUUCUUCUAGUCUCAGUCAGACCAUUAAGUCUCGUCUUUUUAUGAGAAUUUGGGGUCUGCAUCCCACUGAUCUCCUGCUCCCUCAGGGGUUGUCUGUUUUGCUCCCUGUCAGGGCAGUCAUCGGUUGUGGCCGGGCACCAUCUAGUUUUUCUGGUCUCAGGAUGAUGUAAGUCUCUGGUUCAUGUGGCCAUUUCUGUCUCUUGGGCUCAUAGUUAUCGUGUGACCUUGGUGUUCUUCAUUCUCCUUUGAUCCAGGUGGGUUGAGACCAAUUGAUGCAUCUUAGAUGGCCACUUGUUAGCAUUUAAGACCUCAGACGCCACAUUUCAAAGUGGGAUGCAGAAUGUUUUCAUAAUAGAAUUAUUUUGCCAAUUGACUUAAAAGUCCCCUUAAGCCAUAGUCCCCAAAUUCCCGCCCUUGCUCCGCUGACCUUUGAAGCAUUCAGUUUAUCCCGGAAACUUCUUUGCUUUUGAUCCAGUCCAGUUGAGCUGAGCUUCUGUGUAUUGAGUAUUGUCCUUCCCUUCACCUAAAGUAGUUCUUAUCUACUAACUAAUCAGUAAAUAACCCUCUCCACCCUCCCUCCCUCCCCCCCUCGUAACCACAAAAGUAUGUGUUCUUCUCAGUUUAUACUAUUUCUCAAGAUCUUAUAAUAGUGAUCUUAUACACUAUUUGUCCUUUUGCCUCUGACUAAUUUCACUCAGCAUAAUGCCUUUCAGGUUCCUCCAUGUUAUGAAAUGUUUCACAGAUUCGUCAUUGUUCUUUAUCGAUGCGUAGUAUUCCAUUGUGUGAAUAUACCACCAUUUAUUUAAGCAUUUAUCCAUUGAUGGACACCUUGGUUGCUUCCAGCUUUUUGCUAUUGUAAACAGAGCUGCAAUAAACAUGGGUGUGCAUAUAUCUGUUCGCGUGAAGGUUCUUAUUUCUCUAGGGUAUAUACUGAGGAGUGGGAUUUCUGGGUUGCAUGGUAGUUCUAUUUCUAACUUUUUAAGAAAAUGCCAAAUAGAUUUCCAAAGUGGUUGUACCAUUUUACAUUCCCACCAGCAGUGUAUAAGAGUUCCAAUCUCUCCGCAGCCUCUCCACUGUUUAUUAUUUUGUGUUUUUUGGAUUAAUGCCAGCCCUGUUGGAGUGAGAUGGAAUCUCAUUGUAGUUUUAAUUUGCAGUUCUCUAAUGGCUAAUGAUCGAGAGCAUUUUCUCAUGUAUCUGUUAGCUGCCUGAAUAUCUUCUUUAGUGAAGUGUGUGUUCAUUUCCUUUGCCCACUUCUUGAUUGGGUUUUUUGUCUUUUUGUGGUUGAGUUUUGACAGAAUCAUGUAGAUUUUAGAGAUCAGGCGCUGGUCGGAGAUGUCAUAGCUGAAAAUUCUUUCCCAAUCUGUAGGUGGUCUUUUUCCUCUUUGGUGAAGUCUUUAGAUGAGCAUAGGUGUUUGAUUUUUAGGAGCUCCCAGUUAUCGGGUUUCUCUUCGUCAUUUUUGGUAAUGUUUUGUAUUCUGUUUAUGCCUUGUAUUUAGGGCUCCUAACAUUGUCCCUAUGUUUUCUUCCAUGGUCUUUAUUGUUUUAGUCUUUAUGUUUAGGUCUUUGCUCCACUUGGAGUUAGUUUUUGUGCAUGGUGUGAAGUAUGGGUCCUGUUUCAUUUUUUUGCAAAUGGGUUUUUUUUUUUAACAUUCAUUUUUUUGCAAAUGGAUAUCCAGUUAUGCCAGCACCAUUUGUUAAAAAGACUAUCUUUUCCCCAAUUAACUGACACUGGGCCUUUGUCAAAUAUCAGCUGCUCAUAUGUGGAUGGAUUUGUAUCUGGGUUCUCAAUUCUGUUCCAUUGGUCUGUGUGCCUGUUGUUGUACCAGUACCAGGCUGUUUUGACUACUGUGGCUGUAUAAUAGGUUCUAAAAUCAGGCAGAGUGAGGCCUCCCACUUUCUUCUUCUUUUUCAGUAAUGCUUUACUUAUCCAAGGCUUCUUUCCCUUCCAUAUGAAGUCGGUGAUUUGUUUGUCCAUCACAUUAAAAAAUGUCAUUGGAAUUUUGAUCGGAAGUGCAUUGUAUGUAUAGAUGGCUUUUGGUAGAAUAGACAUUUUUACUAUGUUAAGUCUUCCUAUCCAUGAGCAAGGUAUGUUUUUCCACUUAAGUAGGUCCUUUUUAGUUCCUUGCAGUAGUACUUUGUAGUUUUCUUUGUAUAGGUCUUUUACAUCCUUGGUAAGAUUUAUUCCUAAGUAUUUUAUCUUCUUGGGGGCUACUGUGAAUGGUAUUGAUUUGGUGAUUUCCUGUUCGAUGUUCUUUUUGUUGAUGUAGAGGAAUCCAAGUGAUUUUUGUAUGUUUAUCUUAUAACCUGAGACUCUGCCAAACUCUUUUAUUAGUUCCAGUAGUUUUCUGGAGGAUUCCUUAGUAGGAUAUUAUUUUAAUGUUAGAAGAAAAAAUGGCUUAAAGCUCUCUGUAUUCUCUUAUUUUUCAAAUGUUAAUUGGACUUGAGCUUUGUUAAAUCCUUUUUUCUCUUACCACUAGAAAAGAGAGCUUUGAAUUCAAACCUUCAGUGAUCAAAUUGCAGUCUUUUUUGUACUUGGUUUUUUAUAAAAUUGAUUUGUACAUGUAGCUAACUAUAUAAUAGAAGAAAAUUUUAUACAAAGUUUAAAAGGAAAAGUUAAACAGUAGUUAAGAGCCUUUUACUAACUAGUUUUGUUAGCUGCCAUUGGAAUUCUUUUGGAGACUGACUCAAGCAUUCUGCAGAAACAUUCAGUGCCUGGGGAGGAUGAACUGAUGUCUGCAAACUGCUGAGGUAGAAAGAUGUGACCCAGGAAUUUGUUACACAGACAGGUUGUCAGUGACAUGUUAAGUUAAUAAUGGAAAGAAAAUCUCUUCUGAAAUGUAGAACUACAGAAAUAGAACUGUCUAUGUACCCUGCCUGAAAAAGUUACCUAGAGAUGAUGGAGCCAACUGAAAGAUGAAUCAAAGAACUGAGAAGAUGGAAACGCUGUGAACGACGAAUCCAUUUAAACAUAGAAUUAAGUCUGAUGCUGGUAGAAACGGGCUUAUGCAUAUGUACAGUUAGGAAGUGAACGUUGAUAGGACCGACUCUUUCCACUAACAAGACAAAACAGACUGUGGCAAAAGAUAGAAAACUAAGGAAACAUUAAAAUGACAAAUUAUAUAACAGUGAUUGGUCAGGACGACGUGGCAGUCCCCUCCCACCUCUAUAAAGUGAUCCUGGCACGCAGAAGCCCAGCAUCCACUGAACCCCUGGUACUAGGGGCCUUUGUGGUG